UAAUUGAAGAGUUUGAUCAUGGCUCAGAUUGAACGCUGGCGGCAGGCCUAACACAUGCAAGUCGAGCGGUAACAGGAGAAAGCUUGCUUUCUUGCUGACGAGCGGCGGACGGGUGAGUAAUGUAUGGGGAUCUGCCCGAUAGAGGGGGAUAACUACUGGAAACGGUGGCUAAUACCGCAUGACGUCUACGGACCAAAGCAGGGGCUCUUCGGACCUUG
rnacentral:rRNA from 1 species